rnacentral:rRNA from 1 species
UACGUAGGGGGCUAGCGUUGUCCGGAAUCAUUGGGCGUAAAGCGCGUGUAGGCGGUCCGGUAAGUCCGCUGUGAAAGUCGGGGGCUCAACCCUCGAAUGCCGGUGGAUACUGUCGGGCUAGAGUGCGGAAGAGGCGAGUGGAAUUCCUGGUGUAGCGGUGAAAUGCGCAGAUAUCAGGAGGAACACCGGUGGCGAAGGCGGGUCUCUGGGCCGAAACUGACGCUGAGGAGCGAAAGCGUGGGGAGCAAACAGG